CCCUAGCCCCGAUUAUAAUGAAAAUCCUUUUUUGAAAAAAAAGAUUGUAAUGGAAAGCGGGAAAAAGC
rnacentral:sRNA from 1 species